CUACAGCAGACUUUUCCUUUGCUUUUGAAAGCCCAGGCUUUGUGAAAGGGGAAUGCCAGACUAGUUGUGCCUUGCAUUAGCACAGCCCAGGGCCAAAAAUACUAUGACUAUCUGCUGGACUAAAGAAAUGUUGUACCACUCAGAAGGGGAAUUGGUCUAUAUUGAAGCUGGAAAAAAGAAAAACAGAAGGACCAAUGUUGUCAGCUUCCUCACAAUAUGGCAUUCUCAGGGUUCCAAAAGCAAGAUUCCUAGUGAACCAGGUGGAAGUGCUAUCAACUUUUCUGAUCCUGCCUCAGAAAUCACAUCAGUUCCAAUUGCCUGCUGUUUGUUAUAGGAGAGUGACAGUCCCAUCAAGAUUCAGAGAGAAGGAAGAUAGACUCUACCUCUUGAUGGGAAAAUGGCAUGGUUUUAAAGAGCACAUGAGACGGGAGAUAAUAUUGUGCUUUUCCCUGAAAAAUACAACCUGA